rnacentral:rRNA from 1 species
UACGGGAGGCAGCAGUAAGGAAUAUUGGUCAAUGGACGAAAGUCUGAACCAGUUAUGCUGCGUGAAGGAUGACUGCCCUCUGGGUUGUAAAUUUCUUUUAUAGGGGGUGAAAAAAGGGAAUUCUUUCCCGUCUGACGGUACCCUAUGAAUAAGCACCGGCUAACUCUGUGCCAGCAGCCGCGGUAAU